rnacentral:rRNA from 1 species
CGCCCAACAGCUAGCCCAUAAACCCAACACCAACACAACCCUAUUAAUAACCCCAAAAACACAAACCCAAACUUAAGUAAACCAUUUUUCCCCUCUAGUAUUGGCGAAAGAAAAAGGACUGAGGAGCAAUAGAAAAAGUACCGCAAGGGAUCGCUGAAAGAGAAAUGAAACAACCCAGUAAAGCAAACAAAAGCAGAGAUUUACCCUCGUACCUUUUGCAUCAUGACUUAGCCAGUGUGCCCAAGCAAAACGUGUUUUAGUUUGAUACCCCGAAACUAGGUGAGCUACUCCAAGACAGCCUAUAUUAUAGGGCAAACCCGUCUCUGUUGCAAAAGAGUGGGAAGAUCUUCGAGUAGAGGUGACAGACCUACCGAACCUUGUUAUAGCUGGUUGCCCGGGAAUUGAAUAGAAGUUCAGCCUUUCAGGUUCUUCAUUAACCACCGUAAUACACCAUUAUUAGGGCAAGAAACUGAAAGAGUUAGUCGAAGGAGGUACAGCUCCUUUGAAUAAAGACACAACUUUAUAGGGAGGGUUAAGAUCAUAGUAAGACAAAGGACAAGUAUUUAGGUGGGCCUAAGAGCAGCCACCCUGCAGAAAGCGUUAUAGCUCAAAUACCCUUCCUCCCCCUUUAUCCCGAUCAUAUAUUCUUAUCCCCCCACCCCUUACCGGGCCAUCCCAUGACAAACAUGGAAAAGACCCUGCUAAUAUGCGUAAUAAGAGAGCUAAGACUCUCUCCGUACACAUGUGUAACUCGGAUCGAACUAACACCGAAUAACAACGGCCCCAAGUAAAGAGGGUUGUGAACAGCACUAAAACUAGCAAGGAAAGACUUCACAACUAUACCGUUAACCCUACACAGGUGUGUUGCCACGGAAAGACUAAAAGAGAAAGAAGGAACUCGGCAAACUAAUAAGCCUCGCCUGUUUACCAAAAACAUCGCCUCUUGCAAAAUUAACGAAUAAGAGGUCCCGCCUGCCCUGUGACUAUAUGUUUAACGGCCGCGGUAUUUUAACCGCGCGAAGGUAGCGCAAUCACUUGUCUUUUAAAUGAAGACCUGUAUGAAAGGCUAGACGAGGGCUUAACUGUCUCCUUUCUCAUGUCAAUGAGAUUGAUCUCCCCGUGCAGAAGCGGGGAUAAUACCAUAAGACGAGAAGACCCUAUGGAGCUUCAGACACCAAAGAAGACCAUGUUCCCAACCCUCCGAUAAGAGACCAAACUAGUGGUUUGCCUUCCCUAAUGUCUUUGGUUGGGGCGACCGCGGAGAACUACAAAACCCCCGCGUGGAAUGGGCGCACCCGUUCCUUAAAUUAAGAGCCACAGCUCUAACUAGCAGUAAUUCUGACCACCCUAGAUCCGGCAAAGCCGAUCAACGGACCUAGUUACCCUAGGGAUAACAGCGCAAUCCUCUUUUAGAGUCCAUAUCGACAAGGGGGUUUACGACCUCGAUGUUGGAUCAGGACAUCCUAAUGGUGCAGCCGCUAUUAAGGGUCCGUUUGUUCAACGGUUAAAGUCCUACGUGAUCUGAGUUCAGACCGGAGUAAUCCAGGUCAGUUUCUAUCUAUGACGCACUCUCUUCCAGUACGAAAGGACCGAAAAGAGGAGGCCCCUCCACCAGUAUGCCUCACCCCCACCUAAUGAAAUCAUCUAAAUCUAGGCAAGAGGGCGCACCUCCCUGCCAAAGAUAAUGGCAU